GUAACCUACGGGAGGCAGCAGUCGGGAAUAUUGCGCAAUGGAGGAAACUCUGACGCAGUGACGCCGCGUAUAGGAAGAAGGUUUUCGGAUUGUAAACUAUUGUCAUCAGGGAAGAUAAAAGACAGUACCUGAGGAGGAAGCUCCGGCUAACUAUGUGCCAGCAGCCGCGGUAAUACGUAGGGAGCAAGCGUUAUCCGGAUUUACUGGGUGUAAAGGGAGCGUAGACGGCUGCGCAAGUCUGAAGUGAAAGCCCGGGGCUCAACCCCGGGACUGCUUUGGAAACUGUGUAGCUAGAGUGCUGGAGG
rnacentral:rRNA from 1 species